GACCUUCGGGAGCCUAUACAGGUGUUGCAUGGCUGUCGUCAGCUCGUGUCGUGAGAUGUUCGGUUAAGUCCGCUAACGAGCGCAACCCUCGUCAUAUGUUAUAUGUGUCAUACGAGACUGCCGGUAAAAAGCCGGAGGAAGGUGAGGAUGAUGUCAAGUCAGCAUGACCUUUAUAUCCAGGGCUACACACACGCUACAAUGGUCUGUACAAUGGGUAGCCAAGCCGCGAGGCGGAGCCAAUCCUGAAAGCAGGCCUCAGUUCAGAUUGCAGUCUGCAACUCGACUGCAUGAAGCCGGAGUUGCUAGUAACCGCAGGUCAGCAAUACUGCGGUGAAUACGUUCCCGGGUCUU
rnacentral:rRNA from 1 species